CAGCAGCCACGGGAAAACAGAGGGUGCAAGCGUUAAUCGGAAUUACUGGGCGUAAAGCGCGCGUAGGUGGUUUGUUAAGUUGGAUGUGAAAUCCCCGGGCUCAACCUGGGAACUGCAUCCAAAACUGGCAAGCUAGAGUAUGGUAGAGGGUGGUGGAAUUUCCUGUGUAGCGGUGAAAUGCGUAGAUAUAGGAAGGAACACCAGUGGCGAAGGCGACCACCUGGACUGAUACUGACACUGAGGUGCGAAAGCGUGGGGAGCAAACAGGAUUAGAUACCCCCGUAGUCCCUGUCUCUUAUAC
rnacentral:rRNA from 1 species